rnacentral:misc_RNA from 1 species
UUAAUGUUCGUUAUUCUAUAGAAAGUUUAUUUCACACUACACUAUAAGUUAAAUAAUAAGGCCACAUAUGAAACAACAGUUUAUUUUACACCACACAGAAGUACAGUUAAAUAUAUAGGUAGAAUAAUCAACAGCGAUAGUGAAGUGAGCGGAGAAAUUAAUCAGCGAAAGAAAAGGAAAUAAUAGCGCGUAUAUAAUAUAAGCUAAACACAGCAAUACGAUAAUCUAAGCGUUCGCGAAAUAUAAAAUGAAAAAGCAAGCGACGUGGAGAUCAGCUGAAGUCGUGCGGUCAACUGGCGCCGGAGUCGCUCGGCGGCCGGCGCGCGCGGGCAUUGACUUCCACCUGUCGUCCCGUUAUCCGAGUCUUCAAUUGCACCGUAUUGCUAUUUUAAUGCGUAGUAUUAAAUAUA